rnacentral:rRNA from 1 species
UACGUAGGGGGCGAGCGUUGUCCGGAUUUAUUGGGCGUAAAGAGCGUGUAGGCGGCUUGGUAGGUCUGCUGUGAAAACUCGGGGCUCAACCCCGAGACGUCGGUGGAAACCACCUGGCUAGAGUCCGGAAGAGGAGAGUGGAAUUCCUGGUGUAGCGGUGAAAUGCGCAGAUAUCAGGAGGAACACCGGUGGCGAAGGCGGGUCUCUGGGCCGAUACUGACGCUGAGGAGCGAAAGCGUGGGGAGCGAACAGG